rnacentral:tRNA from 1 species
GAGCCAAUGUGCUGUAGCGGUUAAAGUGUCAGACUAGAACCUCAGAAACCUGGGUUCGAAUCCCCGUUGCACCA